CCUACGUGAGGCUGCAGUGAGGAAUAUUGGUCAAUGGACGCAAGUCUGAACCAGCCAUGCCGCGUGCAGGAAGACGGCUCUAUGAGUUGUAAACUGCUUUUGUACGAGGGUAAACGCAGAUACGCGUAUCUGUCUGAAAGUAUCGUACGAAUAAGGAUCGGCUAACUCCGUGCCAGCAGCCGCGGUAAGACGGAGGAUUCAAGCGUUAUCCGGAUUUAUUGGGUUUAAAGGGUGCGUAGGCGGUCUGAUAAGUUAGAGGUGAAAUCCCGAGGCUCAACUUCGGAAUUGCCUCUGAGUCUGUUCGGCUAGAGAGUAGUUGAGGUAGGCGGAAUGUAUGGUGUAGCGGUGAAAUGCUUAGAGAUCAUACAGAACACCGAUUGCGAAGGCAGCUUACCAAGCUACUUCUGACGUUGAGGCACGAAAGCGUGGGGAGCAAACAGGAUUAGAUACUCUUGUAGUC
rnacentral:rRNA from 1 species